AACACUUGCUGGAGAGUUGAUGCAGUCAUUUGGAGAAAAGAAGCAACACACAUGGAGCUGGAGGCCAUUAUCCUAAGCAAACUAAUGCAGGAACAGAAAAUCAAAUGCCACAUAUUCUUCUUACUCAUUAGUGGAAACUAAACAAUGAGAACUCAUGGACACAAAGAGGAGAAUAACAGACACCAGGGUCUACUUGAGGGUGGAGUGUGGCAGGAGGGAGACGACCAAAAAACUACCUCUCGAGUAUUUUGCUUAUUAUGUGGCUGAUGAAAUAAUCUGUAGUCCAUACCUCCAUGAUACAGUUUACCUAUAUAAUAAACCUGCACAUGAACUUCUGAAGCUAAAAUAAAAGUUCAUUAAAAAGAAAAGAAAAUGCCUUUUCCCUCACAUUUGCCAAUGCUGGUUAUUUUUCAAAUAAAUUAAUGACUGGAAAAAACAGUAACUCAUUGUUUACUGAUUUUCAUUUUUCUGAUUAACAGGCAAGGCUGAAUAUUCUAGUAAAAGUAUAAAAUUUGUUCAUCAUGAAUAUUAGCCCAAAUUAGGAUUAGUUUGACAGCAUAUAGUUAUCUCCUAUUAAAUGUUGCCAUAGGCUUACCUGUGAUACUCUUCAUUCUCAGUGUCAGG
rnacentral:lncRNA from 1 species